rnacentral:rRNA from 1 species
UACGAAGGGGGCUAGCGUUGCUCGGAAUCACUGGGCGUAAAGCGCACGUAGGCGGCUUACUAAGUCAGGGGUGAAAUCCUGGAGCUCAACUCCAGAACUGCCUUUGAUACUGGCGAGCUCGAGUCCGGGAGAGGUGAGUGGAACUGCGAGUGUAGAGGUGAAAUUCGUAGAUAUUCGCAAGAACACCGGUGGCCGAAGGCGGCUAAUCUGGACCGACAUUGACGCUGAGGCG